CUCUACUUUAGAAAGAAAAAAGAUGUAACAGCACGAAAGCUUAAGUAUGCUACAAAUAGAACAACAAAAUAUUAGAAAGAAGUUUUGAAAUGCUACUUUUGUAACCUGGAAGUUGGGAGAUCUUCCCUUAACCAGAACAGAAAACCCAAAACCUUAAAGAAAAGUUAAAUAUAUUUUACAGUAUCAAAUUAGGUAUUUUUACAUGGCAAGUACAAAUUAUAGCAAUCUAACAAGUGAUAGACUGAGAAAAAUGUCUGCAGUUCAUAUGAUAAAGGGUUAGCGUCCUUCAUAGACCAAAUUCUCUUACUUCAUGUUGAGAAAAAGUCAAGCAAUGCAAUGGGAAAAAUAGCAAAGAACAGGAACUAGCCAUGUGCCAAAGACGAUCUACGGACAACUAAUAAGAAUUUAAAAUGAGGCACAGUGCGGGGUUAGGGAAAUGCGAACUCUGGCAACAGCAGAGCCUGCUUCUCCGCUUUGGAACAGCAAACAUCAAAACUCCGCACCUCUGGAGCUGCUGAGGGUGCGGGGAAUUAGUUCACGUUUCUGGCAGAAGUGCAUACUGAAAUGAUCUUUUGAGAAUCUUAUCUGGCCUUGUCUGCUAAAUUAAAAGUGAAUGUGAUUUAUCCAGCGAUUGCUCAGGGGGGCGGGGGCCGGUGGCUAGGGGAAAAGUAUCACGCAGGCAUUUUAGCAUUUGUGUGCAUAAACCUAGGGGUUUAGGGGUGUUUAUUGAAGCCUUUUUAUGAGGACAAAACCUUGCACCCCUGCCAGCUGCCUGCCUUUAGCAGACGUUGAGUGGAACACGGCGCCUGUCCUCAGCCAGCCUCAGGAGGAAGAGGCUUUCCUUUAUGUGAAGCCAUGGCUGACCCCAGGGUCCCUGGUCCCCAUACUGUUGAUGUGCAAACAGGCACUUUCCCAAGGCAGCUGUCCACCAAAAGAGCUGGCUCAGCAGCAGCUGGAGAUGUGAAGUAGCAGAGAAGGCCGUGUUCUAAGAGUCCGGUGUGGGACGGGUCCUGGUUUUGCUUAAAAAUAAUGAGACAGAAAAGAAGCCCACUGGUAUGUGUAAUGUGAGGUGUGUGUGUGUUUGCACACACAUAGAGAAAGGCACAGAGACAGAUUAAUGAUAAACCAAGUUUCUCAGGUUGCACCUCACAGGUGCGUUUGACGCAGGAGGGAGAUCGCUAACUUUUCCAUCACAUUAUCUGACUUGCUACAAUGAGCAUACGCUACUUUGGUAAUUAAAACAUCAGAAAGCAAAACAGAGCAAAAAUCAAGUAGAGCGAAAAAAAAUCGUAAGGUUUUAGAUUGCUAGAUUAGGACGUUAGUCUCCAAGCCAAAAGUAGAGUGUGGACUAUUUUUGGGGAGAGGGGACAAAGUCCUCCCUUUCUGGGGUAUCUUAGCCAACUCAGGCUGGAAUAACAAAAUGCCAUAGGCUGGGGGGCUCCAAGAACAGACGUGGUUCCUCACAGGUCUGGAGGCUGGAGGUCUGAGGUCAGGAUGCUGGCAGCGGUGGGGUCCAGGGAGGGCUCCCUCCUGGUUCACGGACGGCCCCUCCUCCCUGUGUCCUCACACAGCAGAGAGAGGAGGCUCUGGUGUUGCUUCUCAUAGGAGCCCUAAUCUCAUCACGAGAGCUGCACCCUCGUGGCCUCGUCCCCUCCCAAAGGCCCCACUUCCUAACACAUUGCAAUGGAGGAUAGAUUCCCCAUAUGAAUUUCAUGGGGCACAAACGCUCCAUCCUCAGCAGGGGCAAUAGUGGUUUGAGUUGGAGCCAAACUCUUGAUCAGAGAAAGGCAAGGGAGAGCAGGUCCCUGGAGAGAUGAGUCCACAGCACAGGCCAGCUAAGGAGACAGCCAGGCUGGCAGGCUUUGUCAAGGUCAAAGGUGCCAGACCCUGUGUGGGCACUGAAUAAAACCAGCCACCCAGGCCAGGCGCGGCGGCUCAUGCCUGUCAUCCUAGCACUUUGGGAGGCUGAGGCGGCAGAUCUUCUGAGGUCAGGAGUUCGAGACCAGCCUGACCAACAUGGCAAAACCUCGUCUUGACUAAAUAUACAAAAAUUAGCUGGGUGUGGUGGUGGGGACCUAUAAUCCCAGCUACUCAGGAGGCUAAGACAGGAGAAUCGCUUGAACCCAGGAGGCAGAGGUUGUAGUAAACUGAGAUCGCACCAUUGCACUACAGCCUGGGUGACAAGUGAGACUCCGUCUAAAAAAAAAAAAAAAGAAAAAGCAAAAGAAAAACACAAGAGGCCCUUGAAAUGGCCAUGCUCUCCAGCUCAGGUCCUCCCAGCCUUUCCCUGCCAAAGUCCAGCUCAGGUCCUCCCUGUGUCUCCCUGCUGAGGGGUUGGAUGAUGAAUCACUGGUGGGUCAGGUUCCUCUGUCUCCUGUACUUUGUAUAAACUGGUGCUUUUCAGAAUAAAGACACCGUCCUCGUUCAUUAUGUUUUAUUAAGAAACAUGGCCAGGCGCAGUGGUUCAUGCUUGUAGUCCCAGCACUUUGGGAGGCCAAAGCGGGUGGAUCACCUGAGGUCAGCGGUUCGAGACCAGCCUGGCCACUAUGGUGAAACCUCGUCUCUACUAAAAAUACAAAAAUUAGCCAAGUGUAGUGGUGUGUACCUGUAAUCCCAGCUACUUGGGAGGCUGAGGUAAGAGAAUAGCUUGAACCCAGGAGGCAGAGGUUACAGUGAGCCGAGAUCACACCACUGCACUCCAGCCUGGGUGACAGUGAGACUCUGUCUGAAAAAGGUUCUAGGUAACUCCUCGCCUCCUACUUUGUGUCUUUGUUCUCCUGAGCUGAAAACCUCUAUUCCCAAGCAGACUGCCCUGAGGACCCGGUUACUUUCCCCUACACUUGCACCCAGGGCCCGGGGCACCAGCACCAAUGCUGCCCAUAGUAGCAUGGACCCCGGACACAGCGGGAUGUCGAGGGCCCUUUGUUUUCUAUUUUCCCAGCUUUUGUCCCAUCUGGGAGUUCCAGCCACAUCUCCGUGUUUUAUUGUCUUUGAAACAGGAGUCAUCAGCGUGGUUUUGCCAUCACUUGGUGCAUAGUUAGGCUGUUGCUUGUUUUUGCUUUCCAUUUUUAGGGAUUGAUCCUUUCAUACUUACGUAAAACACUGAUGAGGGGUCAAAGUUGCCUCUAAACAAAGCUGGGGCUGCCCAGAGAACCUGAGCUCACAUCCCCUCCACCCUUUCCCCUUUCGACCCUCAAAGGUAAAACAUUCUAAAAGUUUUACAGAUCGUUCUUUCAUUUUUACAAUUCUACAUACUUGGAUACAAGAUGCACGUGUGUAUCCAGAUAAAACCACUCGGUUUGCUGAAGGCAAGGCGGCCAGACGGGGCUCCCUCGGAGCGCUCAGGCUCUGGCCGGCACUUAAAGGAAAAGGACCUUCGUGACAGACCGGGAAAUACCAGGAGCCAAAGCCCCCUGGUCAGGGGUGACCACCUCAUUUCAGGACUGAGGAUGAAGGCUCCCCAGGCCCAGAGGGAGCCGGUGGAAAAGCUCUCGUCCUAGGAAAUCCUGUCUGCAGCACUCCCCGUGCCCCCAGGGGGCUCUCGUUUUCCCAAAGAACUCACAUGAGAGCCUGGUUUCCCAUGGCACUGGAGGGUCCAGUUCUUUGUUACGUGGUAGAAAUGUGUGUGGGAAGAGCCAGGCUGGCAGAAGCGGGCGGCGAAGGCUGGGAUGGCGUGGUCAGCGUCAUGAAGGCAGCAUCCCUGGAGAAGAAGCUCCUCUGAGCCAUGAUCACAGCAAAGUGGCACUCCUCUGCGCUAAGACGCACUCCACACCCUGCUCUGUCAUCUUUGUGGUGAAAGAGUGGCUUCAAAAUGUCAUCGGAGCAAACGGGGACAAGUCGUACCUGGCAGGACACUGAGCCGUGCACGGCUGCCCCCCCCCCCCCCCGCCCCCAGCGUCUGCAGUGGAAACCGAGUCCCUGGGGAGAGGAGAAAAGCUUCCUGGAAGGAGGAGGUGUUCACUUUCUACCCAAAAUAUCCCACAUUCUCCAGGCCUCGCCAGGGCCAGUUCUAGGUGCUAUGACGCGUCGAGAGCCAAACAAAGCCCGUGGCCCUCACAGGACUGCACAUCCAGCAGCAGGAGACAGGAGGAGGCAAGGGACCUGCGAGAAGCGGGAAGACCCAGGACUCAGCAGGGUAACAAGAAAGCCAAGUCUGGCUGCGUCUGUGCCCAAAGUACCGCACUCCCCCACAUAGAAGAAGCAGGGCUCUUUUCGGCUGCAGCCGUGGGGGCCGAGCACAUCCUGAGUGAGUGCUGGGCUGGGCGCCUGGGACCCCCAUGACUUAUAGAUGCCACGCUCACAGCAGAGCAUAAAUACUUCACUAACCCUCCAUUUGUUAUUCGUGCUGAACGCUUCGGAACUUAUGCAAUAUGAAUUACGUUUUGUAAUGGCCCUCAUGCUGGGGUCUUCUGGGAAAAUAUUGUUUUCAGCAAGACAAAGCAAAUUGCAGAUGUUCCUGAAGGAGCUUCACUCUUGAACAAGGAAAUACAUUUACUCUGACAUAGUUGCUCGAAUGAUCUCUUGUGUUAUCUUUUAUUGAACACAAAAUGAG
rnacentral:lncRNA from 1 species